AUACUCUAGAUUCUCUUCAGAUCACAUAAUCUUUCAUCUUUUUCUAAAGAUUUCCAUGGAAAGGGACAAUUCUGAGUCUUAACAAAUUUGUUGAGGCCUUGUCUCGGCAAGUCU